GCUAGCGGCGUGCCUAAGGUAUGCAAGUCGAACGGACCCGCAAGGGUUAGUGGCGAACGGUUGAGUAACACGUAGACAACCUGCCUCGAAGUGGGGGACAACAGCGGGAAACUGCUGCUAAUACCGCAUGUGGCCCUGUUUCACCUGGAACAGUGGCUAAAGGCGCAAGUCGCUUCGAGAUGGGUCUGCGGCCUAUCAGUUUGUUGGUGGGGUAACGGCCUACCAAGACGACGACGGGUAGCUGGUCUGAGAGGAUGAUCAGCCAGACGGGGACUGAGACACGGCCCCGACUCCUUCGGGAGGCAGCAAUGAGGAAUAUUGCGCAAUGGGCGAAAGCCUGACGCAGCGACGCCGCGUGGGUGAGGAAGUUCUUCGGAAUGUAAAGCCCUUUUGUCGGGGACGAUCACAGACGGUACCCGACGAAUAAGCCCCGGCUAACUACGUGCCAGCAGCCGCGGUAAUACGUAGGGGGCGAGCGUUGUCCGGAUUUACUGGGCGUAAAGAGCGCGUAGGCGGAAAUUUAAGCGUGGCCUGAAAGCCCCCGGCUCAACCGGGGAGUGCGGCUGCGAACUGGGUUUCUUGAGGACGAUAGAGGAGAGUGGAAUUCCUGGUGUAGCGGUGAAAUGCGUAGAUAUCAGGAGGAACACCCGAGGCGAAGGCGGCUCUCUGGGUCGUACCUGACGCUGAGGCGCGAAAGCGUGGGGAGCGAACGGGAUUAGAUACCCCGGUAGUCCACGCCGUAAACGAUGGUCACUAGGUGUGUGUGGUAUCGACCCCGCACGCGCCGCAGCUAACGCAAUAAGUGACCCGCCUGGGGAGUACGGCCGCAAGGUUGAAACUCAAAGGAAUUGACGGGGGCCCGCACAAGCGGUGGAGCAUGUGGAUUAAUACGUCACUAACCGUAGAACCUUACCCAGGCUUGACAUCUAGGGAAUCCCCCUGAAAGGGGGGAGUGCUCGCAAGAGAGCCCUAAGACAGGUGUUGCAUGGCUGUCGUCAGCUCG
rnacentral:rRNA from 1 species